rnacentral:rRNA from 1 species
AAUGGUGAGAAGCUAUCUAUCUGUAGGAUUAUGGCUGAACGCCUCUAAGUCAGAAUCCAUGCUAGAAGUGAUGAUCGGUCUUUGGUUUUCGGUUGCGUGAUUGAUGUAAAAAGUUAGUUGCGUGAUUGGGGCCAAAAACCAAACCUUAAAUUCCCCUUUGUUUAGGCGGCUAAGCAUAGACUUGGUGUGUCUACUCGUUUUAAAUCCUGGGUUCUGGCUAGGUUUCGGUUUAAGUUCUGUGUGUUGGUGUUGGUGGUUUCGGCUGACAAUGUUGAUGUAUAGUGAUUUAAGCGCGGAGGCUUAGUUUUUGAGUUCAGGAGGAUACAUAAGUUCAAUAGCAGUCAAUCAUCUAAUAAAAUGGGUCCGUGGGCUAUGGUUUUACCAAAAUUUGUAGCAAUAACAUAGUCCUGAGACCUGAAUCAUAACUAUUAAACCCCAGAGAGGUAUGAAUCCUUUGUAGACGACUUAAUUUCGUAACUGGGUACUGUACGGGGC